rnacentral:pre_miRNA from 1 species
AUCUUCAUUCACUCACUCAACCUGGGUGUGAUGUUUUCUAUUAAAAUCCAUCACAACCUCCUUGAGUGAGCGAAUGCAGGA